rnacentral:rRNA from 1 species
CUUCCUAGGUAACCUGCGGAAGGAUCAUU